UACGAAGGGUGCAAGCGUUACUCGGAAUUACUGGGCGUAAAGGGAGCGUAGGUGGUUGUUUAAGUCUGUUGUGAAAGCCCCGGGCUCAACCUGGGAAUGGCAAUGGAUACUGGACAGCUAGAGUGCGGUAGAGGGUAGUGGAAUUCCCGGUGUAGCAGUGAAAUGCGUAGAGAUCGGGAGGAACACCAGUGGCGAAGGCGAGUCCCUGGAAAACUCCUGACACUGAGGCACGAAAGCUAGGGGAGCAAACAGG
rnacentral:rRNA from 1 species